AUUUGUUAGGAAUAAGCAUUGAGAGGAAGGUCCACUGUUGCAGGGCCAUUCUGAUGUAAAUGCCUAUAGAAAGAACUUGUUAAUACAGACACCCACUCAGCUUUGUUCAUAUAUACCUAAAGCUAUUACAAGGACAAUCUGCGCUUGAAUAUCUUAUGUUGUGGUUUCACUACAACACACAAAUCAAA